UACGUAGGUGGCAAGCGUUGUUCGGAAUUAUUGGGCGUAAAGGGCGCGUAGGCGGUUUGUUAAGUCGGUCGUGAAAGCCCGGGGCUCAACCCCGGAGGGUCGACCGAUACUGGCAGACUAGAGUACAGAAGAGGUAACUGGAAUUCCCGGUGUAGCGGUGAAAUGCGUAGAUAUCGAGAGGAACACCUGCGGCGAAGGCGGGUUGCUGGGCCGACACUGACGCUGAUGCGCGAAAGCCAGGGGAGCGAACGGG
rnacentral:rRNA from 1 species